rnacentral:tRNA from 1 species
UCCCUGGUGGUCCAGUGGUUAAGACUCUGCCUUUCAAUGCAAGGGACGAAGGUUCGAUUCCUGGUCAGGGAA